GUGGGGCCUUGGUGGGCGUCACACUUUAUGGGGGCAAGACAUGAUUGCAAGAGGGACGGGGACUUUGCCUAACAAUUGCAAUCAGUGUAACCUGGCUUAUUGUACCCUCAAUGAAUCCCCAACAAUAAAAAAAAAAAAAAGAAAAAGAAAAAGAAAAUACUUUCUAAGAAUUUUCACAUCUGAAAAAAAAAAAAAGAAAGAAAGAAAGCUCUUCCUCCCGUGUAUGUAAGUGCCAGGGGAAGGAUGCCAUUUUGUUAAGUGUCCGGGCAAGGUCUGUGCAAGCAUCUUCCCUCAGGAAACAAGAUGGGAAUUAGGCUGUAAAGGAGAAGUAAGAUCUGAAUAGAUGGAAAGAGCCUUCCUUGCCUUCCAGGUAAGGGAAAUGAUGAACAUGAAGAGUCUGAGGUGGGCCAGGGAAAAGAACAUUCUGGCUGGAGAAGAGGGGGUGAUAUUGAAAGAGUGGCCUGGAGUGGGGCUGGGCUGGGUGACAUGGGGGUCUUUUGGUCUCCAUGGAAAAGGAUUGAUUUUGUGCCAGAACCUUUGCCUAAAGGGUCUCAAGGAUGUUGUGAAAUAAAUAUUUUUAGCCCCAUUUUAGAUGAGGAAACUAAGCCCCAGAGGGGAGACAUGACAUAUCCAAGUCACACAUUCUGAGGUGUAUAAUGCUAUCGUCAAUGCUCCUAAUAAUUAGGAGUCCUGAGUUGUUCAGUCCUUUGCGCUAAAGCACUAGCUUCCUGCAAGACAGGAGUGAGAAGGUGGCACAGGCCGCUCAGGCCAGUCUGGGUUUGACUUGUGAACACACACACACACACACACACACACACACACACACACACACACACACACACACCGGGGGCAGGCUCCCCCCACACAUGGCAGUUCCUCAGCUGUAUCUCCCAGUCUAAUUAGUGGCACAACUGUCAUUUAGUAGCCUUUUGCCUUUCACUUUAGCCCACGCUGUGCAAGGCUGCGUCUGUCUAUUCAGGAUUCUAUAGAAGUAUGGAAAGGGAAAAAGCAAUGAGAUGCUUGAAACGAAAUACCCCAUCGAGCUGACCACUAAAUAGCACUUAUACCCCAAGUAUACACACAGCUGCUUUAUGUAAUGAAAGCUGUGGACCAUGUUCUUGGAUAUAAAAUAACAAACCACAUAUAAAGUUUUACAUUGCUGUGUAAUUAGCACAGAUCUGUGAGUGUGUGAGCGCCUGCUGGAGGGGGGAGGAGGGCUGGGGACUCAGGCCCAGUGAGCCGUGGAGGGCAGAAGAUGGGAGUCUGGAUCUCUGGCCCACUGCUUUGUAGCCCUUUGACCUAGGACAAGUUAUGUAAAACCGAAAACUUCUAAUUUUGUACCUGUCAAAAGGAGUAUUAGUACCUGUCACAGUGGAAGAUUUUUUUCCCUUCUCCCUGCCCCCAGGGACACUUGACAAUGUCUGAAGAUAGUUUGGGUUGUCAAAAUGUGCUCUUGGCAUCUAGCUUACAAUGCACAGGACACCGCCUCUCCCCACUUCCACAACAAAGAGUUCUCCCACCUCAAAUGCCCACCCAGCCCAAAUUGAGAAGCUCUGCCCUGUGAGAUUGCUGUGUGGCGGUACAGUCACUGCUAACUUUUAUUGAGCAUUGCUGCAUGUCAGGCACCAUUGUCUCCCUUUAUUUAAGUAUGUCAACUCUUACCUGUUCAUAGUAAACCUUCUCUUACACAGCUUACUUUCUUGUUGAGAAGAAAAAGCAUAAACCAAUUAAACAACAACAACAACAACAAAAAAAAACAAAACAGAGGCAACUUAAGUGAUAGUCUGGUGAGUGAUGAGGAGUCUGCCCUGAGAAGACCUGUGUGAGGAGCAAUUACCCCCAGAGGGGACAGCUGGGCACAGGCUCGGAGGUAGGGAGGGAGCCACCUUGGGGAGUUCAAGAAAUAGGGACAAGUCCAGCUGAGGUCAACCUAGGUGAGGGAGGAAAUUGAAAGAGAUGACAUUACAGAUGAGAAGGGGCAGGUGAAGGAGCCCUGGGAGGUCCAGGUGAGGAGUUUGAAUUCCAGCUUUAUCAGGAAGCUGUAAGAGGGUUUUAAAGAAGAGUGGCACGAUCUGAUUUACAUUUGGAGAAGGUCGUUCUGACUUGAGUAUGGGGAGAUGGCAAGUGGGGAAUUCAGGGAGUAAUUCAGUAAGGACACUGAAUUACUGUGGGGAGUUGGCAGUUGUGGGGAGGAAUGAUGGUGUCUUAGCCCAGGGUGGCUAUGGAGGAAGAAAGUGAGCAGAUGUGGUUCACACAGAAUUAGAGCAAGUACGAUAUUGGGGGGUGAAAGGCAGAGAGGAAUGAAGGAUGGUGCUGAGGUUUGUGUCCUGAGCGACUGGCUCUGUUAAUGGAAAUAGGGAAGCUGAGGCAGGAGCGGAGGUUGGAGUGAGUGGAGGGGAGGUGUGGAGGGUCGGUUCCAGGUCAUAUUCAGCAUGACCUGCCUGCUAGGAUCCAAGUGGAGGUAUUAGGGGAGCAGUUUAUAAAUGAGCCUGGGGCUCAGGGGAGCCAGCAGGACUGGAGGGAUGAACUUAGUAUACACUUAGUAUCCAUUGCACAGAGAUGAUAUUUAAAGUCAAAGACCCAUGAGAGUGGGAAGAGAGAAUGAAUGAAUUGAAGAAGACGUGGGUCUAAGUCAGAAGUCAGGGGACUCACUCCUUUCAAGUUUGGAAGAGAAGCAUCCAUCCAUCAUGUCUCAUCAAAAGAGACAUUAGUAGGAGAAAAACCAGGGGAGAGAGGCGUCAAGACAGCCAAUAAAAUAACAACAACAACAAAAAAAAACCCAGAGAAGUAACUGUUAGAUUUGACCAGGAGAGGUUGACACGAGACAUUUUGGUGGAGUGUUAGGAACAGAAGCUCAAGUGAAAUGUGUUGAAGAUAAAGAGAGAGAUGAGGAAGUGGAGACAGCCACUACACGCAAUGUUCCCUAGGAGUUCUGUGGUAAAAGGUAAAGAAAUGGAGUGGAGUGGGAUCAUGGGGUCAAGGGAGAGACUAUUAAAAACAAAGGUCUUAUAGUGCAUUUGUGGGCGGAGAGUAAGGAGCUAGCCAAGGGUCGGGGGAGUUGCUGGAGAAGCUGUUGAGGAGUAUUAGGGUGGGAAGUGACCUGAGACUCCGGGCAGGAGAGGGGCUCAGCCUUGUUAGGACAUUUCAGCUGUGAUUGCAGGAGGGAAGGCAGCAGGCAGGCGUCAGGUGGGGAGAUAAAGCUGUUGUAAAUCAUUAUUUUCCCCUUUCUCAGAGAGAAAGAUUGCAGCCCUGACCACUGAUACAUACAAGCCUUAAUCCUGGCCCCAAACUGAGCUCUGUCCCACAGACUGAAGGUUUAAUUUUUGUUGAUAAGGGAGAUCCUGGCGAAGAGUAUGGAUGACUCAGUGUAACUGUCUCUACAGCCAAAAGGAAACCUUAAAGCAAAGUGAGGCCCAGCCACACCUGGACAGGCCCCCAGCUGAGGGCUGCCUUCACGACAGUGUCAAGGAGGGGAGUGCCCAGGACUUGUCUGAGGAGAGGCUGGUAAGACUAAACUCAGGUGGGGAGUGUCAUGACAGAAGAGAGCCAAGACCAGGAGGCUAUCAACAUGGACCAUCAGUUGGGCUUGAUUAGAAGGAAAGACCCAAGCCGAGGGAAUCAGAGGGCAAGUGAGUAUGGUGAAUGCAAUGCCAGGAGGCCAACCUGUCAGAGCACGGCAGGGUAGAGAAGAGUGGAGAAAGGAUCUGGAGGGGCCGUCAGAGCAACUGGAUUACUGACAGCAUUACAUGAGGUCAUGUAAAACACCCAACCCUGUGUCUGGCACUUAGUAAAGACUUGAGGAAAGGUGACUGAUAAAUUAGUAGUAGUAGCUGGAGAACCUCAACCCUACAGUGGAUGUGACUUCUGCAACCAGGACCUUCAUAGCCCCUGAGAUCCUGCUACCACCAGGACUGUCACCCAGCCCUCUCUCCCCUCUCACAAUCUAUAUCCACCUGAGAAUUCGCAGAUGCUGAAAUGUUCAAGAAUUCUACUAAGAAUGAAGAUGAUGUCAGCCAGGGGUUGCCCCACCCUUCCCCCUCCCCAAAGGCCAGCAGUUCCUCAUUGGCUUUGAACUUCAGAAGAGACCUGACCUAGAGCUCUGCUCCCCCCACCCCAGGGGCCCUGCCUCUUUAAAAGGCCCCUUCUCAUCUUCAUUCUGCUGCUUCUAUCCAUUACCCCUGAAUGGAAAUUGAAGCUUAAUUUUUCUCCCUUGAAGCCAUUAACACUUUGGGUCCUUGACAGGAAACACUGGCUCGGCUUUAAUUAGCCACAGCAAGCUCCCUAUGUGAGCUUCCAGCACAACCCAGGGACUUCAAAGAUAAAGGCUUCUCUAUUCUUGCUAAUCACAGCUAUUAAUGAGCCAAUUAAGGCCAACUGGGGCCAAGGCAGGCGGCUCUCUAAGGACCAGGCAAACAGCUCAGUCCCAGGAAGCUCCUCCCUGCACCCAGAUGGAAUCUGGUAUCCUGGGAGCAGAGAGACUGGUGUUUGGAGUCCCACCUGGGCUGAAACACCAGCUCUGCAGCUUAUCUGCUGAGAGCCAGGACUGAACAAAUGUCCUCUCAGAUGCUUUUCACAACCAGGGGUAAUAACACUAUUCUCAUGAAGAGCAAUUUUUUUUUUUUUUUUGCAGUUUUUGGCCAGGACUGGGUUUGAACCCGCUAUCUCCUGUAUAUGGGGCUGGCACCCCACUCCUUGAGCCACAGGUGCCACCCCAUGAGGAGCAAUUAUUAUAAUGUGAAUAUAGGUCACUUGAGGCCUCAUUAAAACUAUGUAUUGACUGGGCUCCAUCGUGAAUUUCUGACUCCAUUGUUCUGGGAGGAGUGGUGUGCAAGAAUUUGCGUUUCUAACUUGUCCCCAGAUGACACUGCUGUUGCUGGCUCGGAGAUCACACUUUGAGAAAUACCACUUGUGACUAUAUAGGGCUUGUACAAAUGUGAGUUAUUACUUGAAGAUUUUGAUUACAUUUCCAUCUAUAACUUCCCCUUUACUUCACCCAUGUCCCAUGUGAUUGUCCCCAGGAGCUUCUCAUCUCUGUCAAUAAUUGACAGCCCAGCAUUUGCCACUGUGUUGUUCCUUGACAGUGUAUGACACCCCAGGUGUGCUCAGUCCUAGGCAGAAUUUGGCAGGAACACUUACUUCUUUGCCUAACCUGGUACCAAGAUUCCCAGUCCCGACGCUGACAUCUCAAAUCUCCAGCAUCUUCUUUGAGAAGGGAAAUGGAUUGGGGUUUCCUGAUUCCAGAGAAAGUGAAGAGCGUGGGAUCUUUAGAUGUCUUCUCAACAAAUGAGCUGCAUUGUGGAGAUUCGGAAGAUGGAGAGGUGCAGAGAGGAAGACAUUCCAAGGACUUCUCAGAGUCUUGAAUAUGCUGCUGUGGACUGGGAAACUCAAGUGAGAUGCUUAACAAGCAGCAUUUUCCAGACUUACCUCACUGCAAUACAUAGGGGAGCUUGCUUUCAUAUGGAGGAGCUAGGCCUUGAAGGGCAAAAGACUUUAGAAAAGCUCCAGAGUCCAGGAGACUUCAGUCCCAAUUCUGAAACUUACGCCUCUUCAAGCCUGUCAAAUGGAGGUAGUGGACUUUACCUUGACAAAUUGUUGCAAGAUUUAUGUGAGAUGACAUGAGAACUGCUCAGCCCAAGAUGAGGUAUACAGUAGGGGCUCAAAAAAUGUGUAUUUUGUCACCCCCUCUUUUGCCUUUCCUGGUGGGAGUGUACAGUCUGAAUCAAGAAUAAACUAAGCACCCUGUAUAUGAGGCUGAAGCUGCACUCAAGUCCUCAGGGUUGGAGGAAGGAGAGCUCCUUUGCAACCAGAGUCAUCCAAGCAGGCUUCCUGGAGGAGGCGAGUAUUUGCUGGGUCAGAUUCUGAUGUUCAGUUCUCCUUCACAAUCUACAGGCAGGGAAGGGGCAGGCUUUAAGAUGUGCAUCUCUCCCUGAGCAAGCUACAGCAAGAAUCCUUCUCUUUAUUUUCCUUUUCCACCCUGGAGGCCCAUUUCCCCACCAAAUCAAGCCAACGCAGCACUUGCCUUCUCCUCCCACGGCCAGAACUUGGCCAACAUCUCAAGUUCUCGAGGUGUGAGCCUCAGAAUGGGGCCCUCCUGGCUUGUGGAAAUUCACUCUGAGCCUCUCUGGCUGCCUGCAGAAGGCCUGUUGUACUGAGCUCUCAGUAAGCUCUGGGCAACGGGUCACCAGGACCCAAACAAUCUGGGGUGCUGGCCUGGACUCUGCCCUCCCCAGCCCUGGCCACGGGGCAGGGAGAAGAGACAGUUCCAUAGAUUUCCUCCCCUGGACUCUUCAUCAUCUCCAGCUCCCUGCCCCCCACCAACCAAUCGUUUCAAUAAACCCCACUUUGAACUGGG